rnacentral:lncRNA from 1 species
AGGUUGACGAGGAGGACGAGGAUUUGUGCUCGUAUUCGAGGUAUAACCCGAGGUGAUUAGCAGUAGUGGUUGGCGGUGGUCGAGCUGGACAAGGCGGAGGAUGAGGAAGACGAGGAGAACAAGGUGGACGAGGAGGACGAGGAUUUGUGCUCGGUAUAUCCUGAGGUGGUUGGCGGUCGUUGGAGAUGGCCGGAGGUGGACAAGGAGGACGAGGAUUUUUGCUCGUUCUGUGCCCCACCUAGUGAUCCGCUAGUACA